rnacentral:rRNA from 1 species
UGCCAGCAGCCGCGGUAAUACGGAGGAUCCGAGCGUUAUCCGGAUUUAUUGGGUUUAAAGGGUGCGUAGGUGGGAAUAUAAGUCAGUUGUGAAAGUUUACGGCUCAACCGUGAAAUUGCAAUUGAAACUGUAUUUCUUGAGUGUACAUGAGGUAGGCGGAAUUCGUGGUGUAGCGGUGAAAUGCUUAGAUAUCACGAAGAACUCCAAUUGCGAAGGCAGCUUACUAAGGUACAACUGACACUGAGGCACGAAAGUGUGGGUAUCAAACAGGAUUAGAAACCCCCGUAGUCC